AGCUCUGAUUGUCCAAACGCAAUUCUUGUGAAAAAAUUAAAUAUUCAAGAAUUGUGUCAUGGACAUCGUGGCUC
rnacentral:pre_miRNA from 1 species